rnacentral:rRNA from 1 species
CCGUGCCCAAGAGACUGGGAUAACACCUGGAAACAGAUGCUAAUACCGGAUAACAACACUAGACGCAUGUCUAGAGUUUAAAAGAUGGUUCUGCUAUCACUCUCGGAUGGACCUGCGGUGCAUUAGCUAGUUGGUAAGGUAACGGCUUACCAAGGCAAUGAUGCAUAGCCGAGUUGAGAGACUGAUCGGCCACAUUGGGACUGAGACACGGCCCAA